GCCUGGGUGGUGGAAUUGGUAGACACAAGGGACUUAAAAUCCCUCGGGAGUUGAUCCCGUGCCGGUUCAAGUCCGGCCCUAGGCACCA
rnacentral:tRNA from 1 species